rnacentral:tRNA from 1 species
GAUCCCGUAGUGAAAAUCAUAUUAGAUUGCAAAUCUAAAGAGGUAGGUUCAUUCCCUGCCGGGAUCU